UACAGAGGGUGCGAGCGUUGUUCGGAAUUAUUGGGCGUAAAGCGCAUGUAGGCGGUUUGUUAAGUCGCGUGUGAAAUCCCCAGGCUCAACCUGGGAAGUGCGCGCGAAACUGGCGGACUUGAGUGCUGGAGAGGGUGGCGGAAUUCCCGGUGUAGAGGUGAAAUUCGUAGAUAACGGAAGGAACGUCGGUGGCGAAAGCGGCGCGCUGGACCUCUUCUGACGCUGAGGCGCGAAAGCCAGGGGCGCGAACGGG
rnacentral:rRNA from 1 species